rnacentral:rRNA from 1 species
GAUUAUGGCUCAGAACGAACGCUGGUGGCGUGUCUUAUACAUGCAAGUCGAGCGAGGCAGCAAUGCCGAGCGGCGAACGGGUGAGUAACGCGUAAGCAAUCUGCCCCAUAUCAGGAAAUACCCGUGCCAACGCGCGGUUAAUGUCCAGGAGAGUGGCCCUCUGCAUGGAGGGUUGACUAGAGAUUUAUCGGUAUGGGAUGAGCUUGCGUCCGAUUAGCUAGUUGGCGGGGCAACGGCCCACCAAGGCGACGAUCGGUAGCCGACCUGAGAGGGUGAUCGGCCACAUUGGGACUGAGAUACGGCCCAGACUCCUACGGGAGGCAGCAGUAGGGAAUAUUGCACAAUGGGGGAAACCCUGAUGCAGCAACGCCACGUGUGGGAAGAAGCAUUUCGGUGUGUAAACCACUGUCAUGAGGGAAUAAGGCCCUUAUCCGUAACGGGGUUGAAUGUACCUUGAGAGGAAGCACCGGCAAACUUCGUGCCAGCAGCAGC